UAUUAUAAAUUUCAUUCAUUUGUAUUGUUAAAAACUGGUGUAACUGACGGAAUAAUUAGAAAGUGGCCACGUGUACUUUAUGAUGAUAUAUAAUGAUCAGUUUUUAACAGUAAAAUUAGAUGGAUUUUUUUUAUA
rfam:Gossypium arboreum cultivar AKA8401 contig_18155_1, whole genome shotgun sequence.